AUCCUUUUGUGGUUAAUAAACAUGAUGACUGGGUGUUCACACACAUGUGUGAGAUGUGCCUACCUCAAAGCUUGUUACAAUUUAACCAUUACCCAUCUCACA